rnacentral:rRNA from 1 species
ACUCAAAGGAAUUGACGGGGACCCGCACAAGCAGCGGAGCGUGUGGUUUAAUUCGAUGCGACGCGAAGAACCUUACCUGGGUUCAAUGUGAGUUGCACCAUCCGUAAUGGGAUGUCCCCGCAAGGGGCGGCUCGCACGGUGCUGCAUGGCUGUCGUCAGUUCGUGCCGUGAGGUGUUGGGUUAAGUCCCCUAACGAACGCAACCCCCGGUGCCGGUUAUCCAUCCGGCGCAACUGCCGCGCAGAACGCGGAGGAAGGUGGGGAUGAUGUCAAGUCAGCACGGCCCUUACGCCCAGGGCUACACACACGCUACAAUGGCCGGGACAAUGAGUUGCAAACCUGCAAGGGGGAGCUAAUCUAUUAAACCCGGUCUCAGUUCGGAUAGCAGGCUGCAACCCGCCUGCUUGAAGUCGGAGUUGCUAGUAAACGCUGGUCAGCACACAGCGUUGAAUACGUUCCCGGGUCUUGUACACACCGCCCGU